rnacentral:rRNA from 1 species
CCUACGGGAGGCUGCAGUGAGGAAUAUUGGUCAAUGGACGAGAGUCUGAACCAGCCAAGUAGCGUGAAGGAUGACUGCCCUAUGGGUUGUAAACUUCUUUUAUAUGGGAAUAACAUGUUCCACGUGUGGGAUUUUGUAUGUACCAUAUGAAUAAGGAUCGGCUAACUCCGUGCCAGCAGCCGCGGGAAUACGGAGGAUCCGAGCGUUAUCCGGAUUUAUUGGGUUUAAAGGGAGCGUAGGUGGAUUGUUAAGUUAGUUGUGAAAGUUUGCGGCUCAACCGUAAAAUUGCAGUUGAAACUGGCAGUCUUGAGUACAGUAGAGGUGGGCGGAAUUAGUGGUGUAGCGGUGAAAUGCUUAGAUAUCACGAAGAACUCCGAUUGCGAAGGCAGUUCACUGGACUGCAACUGACACUGAGGCUCGAAAGUGUGGGUAUCAAACAGGAUUAGAUACCCCGGUAGUC